rnacentral:rRNA from 1 species
GUAAGGACGCGUAGGCGGGAAGCCAAGUCUGAUGUGAAAUCCUAUGGCUUAACCAUAGAACUGCAUUGGAAACUGGUUACCUAGAGUAUGGGAGGGGGAGAUGGAAUUAGUGGUGUAGGGGUAAAAUCCGUAGAUAUCACUAGGAAUACCGAAAGCGAAGGCGAUCUCCUGGAACAAUACUGACGCUAAGGCGUGAAAGCGUGGGGAGCAAACGGGAUUAGAUACCCCGGUAGUCCACGCCCUGAACGAUGUUCACUAGUCGUCGGAAUGCUAGUCAUUUCGGUGAUGCACUUAACAGAUUAAGUGAACCGCCUGGGGAGUACGGUCGCAAGAUUAAAACUCAAAGGAAUAGACGGGGACCCGCACAAGUGGUGGAGCAUGUGGUUUAAUUCGAAGAUACGCGAAGAACCUUACCUAGCCUUGACAUUGAAGAAACACUUUAGAGAUAGAGUGGUGCCCUUCGGGGAAUCUGAAAACAGGUGCUGCACGGCUGUCGUCAGCUCGUGUCGUGAGAUGUUGGGUUAAGUCCCGCAACGAGCGCAACCCUCGUCCUUAGUUGCCAGCAGGUUAAGCUGGGCACUUUAAGGAGACUGCCUUCGCAAGGAGGAGGAAGGUGAGGACGACGUCAAGUCAUCAUGGCCCUUAUGGCUAGGGCUACACACGUGCUACAAUGGGGCGUACAGAGAGUUGCGAUACCGCGAGGUGGAGCCAAUCUCAUAAAGCGUCUCUCAGUUCGGAUUGGAGUCUGCAACUCGACUCCAUGAAGCUGGAAUCACUAGUAAUCGUAGAUCAGCAAUGCUACGGUGAAUACGUU